UACGGAGGGGGCUAGCGUUGUUCGGAAUUACUGGGCGUAAAGCGCGCGUAGGCGGGUUGGUAAGUCCGCUGUGAAAGCCCGGAGCUCAACUCCGGAGGGUCGGUGGAUACUGCCAGUCUUGAAGGUGCUAGGGGGGAGAUGGAAUUACCGGUGUAGCGGUGAAAUGCGUAGAUAUCGGUAGGAACACCAGUGGCGAAGGCGGUCUCCUGGGGCAUUCUUGACGCUGAGGCGCGAAAGCUGGGGGGAGCAAACGGGG
rnacentral:rRNA from 1 species